CAGCUGUGGCAGAGUUCUCCA
rnacentral:miRNA from 1 species